UGCUUCCUAGGGCUAAACGGUGUCGUUUGGUGGGGUGGGGAGCGGCGAGAGCAACCCCGACCGGGACUUUUUCCAUCUCCUCAAUUCCACUGUUUAUUCCACUGUAGCCAAGGAUUUUUGCAUAAACUCCCAAUCUCCUCUGCAUAAUUAAUUUCAUUUUAUUUAUUUAUUUAUUUUAAUUUUUUGUAGUUUUUGCUUGUUUACGCAAAAAUCAUUGACUAGCAGAGGGCAGAGGAAUGAGUGUUUUUGCAGGAUCGGAUCUGAACCCAGUUCACCAUUUUCCACUGUCUUUUCUUAUUUUCUUCUAUGAUUUUUUUUCUUUGAAUUUAGUUGAUAAAAUUUGUUGCUUUUUAUGUUGUUGAUUACUAAAUUAUGUAUUUGUUUUUCCUUUUUGUUACUAUACUCAGUUAUUUGGGAGUUGAAUUUAGUUGUAGAACAGGCAAAUUUAAAAGGAAAAAGUUCAAGAAAGUUAUUUAUUCUAUUUAGUUAUCCUAUGGUUAAUUGUAUAUGUGGUGGUGUUGUUUUUGUAUGUCAAAAUGAUUAGUCAAAAGUAAGAAAUUUGAAUUUUGAUCAUAAGGAAUUUCGGUACAUUGCAGGGUAUAUUAUUAGUUAAUGGGAAAGGAAUAAUUCAAACAUCGAAAAUAAAAAGAGUGCAUUUUUCUGUUUUAGUAGUAGUUUUACUUUUUGGGGAGGAAUUUUGUAUCUAGAUGUUGUAGAUUAGUCAGUUGUAAUGAGCAUCUUGAUGCAUUUGGACUUGGAAGGCACAAUUAUCUAGUAGAACAUUGGCAUUUGCCUUGUAGGAGUAUUCCACAUUGUAAAAGAGGCAUCAGUGGAGGGUUAGAGAUUGAGUGUGAAGUUGAUUUAUCAUCAAGCUAAUUACAUAAUCCCGAGUUAUCUUUUCUAUUCUUCAGGCAAAUUUGAUCUAUAAAAUGCUGCAGAAAAUGCGCUUAUGCCUGUAGAGUUUUACAGAUAGGUUUAUCAAACAGUAGUUUACAAGAGUCCUUUCUGUUCAAUGAUCAUAUUAUCCCUUUUUGAAUUCUUAAACCUUUUUUUUCAAAGGAGUAUACAACAUCUGUUUGGUUCUAUUGCAUGCGGUUUUAUACACAGACAUGACUGUAUCCAAAUAUGCAUAUGCAUGUACAACAAGUCUGGUGCUUUUAUUGGGGUAAUUGUGGUUUUAACUUAUAGAUGAAAACUUGUACUAGUAUACAGAGUUCUUGUAUUGCAAGGAAAUGAUAAAACAACCCCCAGGUUUUAGGUAUUGCAAGGAAAAUAUCUGUUGAUUUGCUUGCUUGUCACCAUUGCACUGCAACCUGGUUUUAGGUAAAGCCCUUGUCGAGGACUGUGCAUGGCCGAUGGGGAGACUGUGUACCUGGCUUCAUAAGAAAAGAUCCCCUGGUCUACAUGCAGUUAUUAACGUGUCGGUUAGUAAAAGCUGCUCGUUGUCCUGUUUGACUCCUGAAUGUUGUAGAGCAGACUUAUUUCGUCACUCAAGCAGAAUUAGAAAAGAUGCCUGCACCGUUAAGAAUACUUGUGCCUUCAAGGGCAAACUUUUUCUGCAUCACAUGUGCGACAUUCUAAGAUACGGGCUUCUCAAAUGACACCUCGGAUGGUUACUACCUUCAAUUCCCUUGAUUUGCAGUCCCAUGGAGAUAUGAUGCCGUGUUGCAACGGUGAAAUAGUUGGUUCCAUGAGAUAUGAUAAUCUUCCUCUUCUUGUCUCUCUGAAACUCAUGAUGGAGCUCCCUCUCAAGCUUAAUAUACAGCCUUCUUUUUCAUCUCUGCGCCUGCAAAAGAUAAUUGUUGCAGCUUAAUCUUGGACAACACUCAGAGCUCUGGCAACUGCAGUGUAGAACAUGCAAGGCUAUCAUAUGGCAAUAAAGGUAGAGUGAGGAAGGGUGAUGUUGUCUCUGAGUUUUGAUUUUUUUUUUUUUUUUUUAUGUAUUCUUUCUGAUAGUUUGUGAGUGAUAGAAUAUACAGCAACGGGCCUUAAUUAUAAAUGACAAAUCAAUUGUGCAAGUUAGUGUGGGCUUGGAUGGGUGCUUGUUCCUUGGUGGGUAUUAUGUGUUUUAAGAACAAUCUAAAAUCCCAAGUACUCAUUCUGUUCCGAUUCCACUUCA